CAGCAUCAUUCUGCCUUCAGCAUAUUUUAAGGCUGUACUCCUCCAUAAAUGAAGAGAUCCCAGCAGUCCAGCUGGUUAGCCCAGGCUAAAUGAAAGUGUUUCUUAGUGUUUGGGAGAGUGACAUCGAGAUGUCUUGCUGCACACCCCCAUCCCCUAAAGAACAAAUAUAGCCAAAAGACUCUCUCUGGAUUCAACGGAAA
rnacentral:lncRNA from 1 species